GUCCAGGAGAGACCCGCGAAGGUUGAUCAGGCGGGCACCGAAGGGGCAAUUCAAAAACUCUCAGGUAAAAGAACCGGAC
rnacentral:ncRNA from 1 species